rnacentral:lncRNA from 1 species
GUAGAAUACAUCCUCUCCAAAUCCUGUGGAAGCUGGUGCCUCCUGGGAAAAGGAAAUCGGGGGAUAUCAGAAAACUUCACACCUGCAAGUCAGGAAGCAACUUCUUUCUUAUCUGGUAUGGCCUGUGCUUCUUUAAAAAUACCACCACUCGGCCGGGCGCGGUGGCUCACGCCUGUAAUCCCAGAACUUUGGGAGGCCAAGGCCGGACGAAUCAUGAGGUCAAGAGAUCGAGACCAUCCUGACCAACAUGGUGAAACUCUGUCUCUACUAAAGAUACAAAAAAAUUAGCUGGGCGUGGUGGCACAUGCCUGUAGUCCCACCUACUUGGGAGGCUGAGGCAGGAGAAUUGCUUGAACCUGGGAGGCAGAGGGUGCAAUGAGCCAAGAUCGUGCCACUGCACUCCAGCCUGGCAAAACAGUGAAACCUUGUCUCAAAAUAAAAAAAUAUAUAAAAA